UAAGCGGAGGAAAAGAAACUAACAAGGAUUCCCCUAGUAACGGCGAGUGAACAGGGAAGAGCUCAAAUUUGUAAUCUGGCGUCCUUUGGGCGUCCGAGUUGUAAUCUAUAGAAGCGUUUUCCGUGCUGGACCAUGUCCAAGUCCCUUGGAACAGGGUAUCAAAGAGGGUGAUAAUCCCGUACUUGACAUGACAACCAGUGCUCUGUGAUACGUUCUCUACGAGUCGAGUUGUUUGGGAAUGCAGCUCAAAAUGGGUGGUGAGUUCCAUCUAAAGCUAAAUAUUGGCGAGAGACCGAUAGCGAACAAGUACCGUGAGGGAAAGAUGAAAAGCACUUUGGAAAGAGAGUUAAACAGUACGUGAAAUUGUUGAAAGGGAAACGAUUGAAGUCAGUCGUGUCCAAGGGGUUCAGCCGGUUAUGCCGGUGUAUUCCCCUUGGACGGGUCAACAUCAGUUUGGACCGGUGGAAAAGGGUAGUUGGAAGGUAGCAGCUCCGGCUGUGUUAUAGACUUCUGCCGCACACACUGGUCUAGACUGAGGCAUGCAGCUCGCCCUUGUGGCCGGGGUUUACCCACGUACGAGCUUAGGAUGUUGACAUAAUGGCUUUAAACGACCCGUCUUGAAACACG
rnacentral:rRNA from 1 species